rnacentral:lncRNA from 1 species
CAUAAUAGAGCUACUCCUUAUAGACAUAGGAUAGCCAUUUUCUUUCAAACCACCACAUACAGGAAUAAAUGAAGAAGAGGGAAGUAGGACAUUGGGCUGAGAACUAAAGAGUUUCCUCCUAUGUUCAGUGAAGUUGAUUAAAAUCACUUGUAGACAUGAGAAUGCUCACACAAUCAAAUGCAAAUGAGAAAAGAGAAGUGUUGACAUGCUUGUGAGCAUUAUGGUCUGUGUUUCUGGAAACACUGGAUUUGUCCGGUCUCUACCUUAAUUUGGCUUUGCUGAACAAACUUUAUGUGUGCUACCCACCGUCUUGCCAUUUUCUCCAAGGUCUGACUGUUUCUGAGAGAGUAAUAACCUAGCUAUUCUUUAAACACACCCAAUUUUCUCUGAUUUUAGCAUGUUCAUUUCUUGAGCCAUGACUUUCUAGCCCUUUACAUAAGCAUCCUUACUUUGUGAAACCUCAGAAUAAAACCUUUAAAUUGCUGAACCA